CCUACGGGUGGCAGCAGUGGGGAAUAUUGCACAAUGGGCGCAAGCCUGAUGCAGCCAUGCCGCGUGUGUGAAGAAGGCCUUCGGGUUGUAAAGCACUUUCAGCGGGGAGGAAGGCGUUAAGGUUAAUAACCUUGGCGAUUGACGUUACCCGCAGAAGAAGCACCGGCUAACUCCGUGCCAGCAGCCGCGGUAAUACGGAGGGUGCAAGCGUUAAUCGGAAUUACUGGGCGUAAAGCGCACGCAGGCGGUCUGUCAAGUCGGAUGUGAAAUCCCCGGGCUCAGCCUGGGAACUGCAUUCGAAACUGGCAGGCUAGAGUCUUGUAGAGGGGGGUAGAAUUCCAGGUGUAGCGGUGAAAUGCGUAGAGAUCUGGAGGAAUACCGGUGGCGAAGGCGGCCCCCUGGACAAAGACUGACGCUCAGGUACGAAAGCGUGAGGAGCAAACAGGAUUAGAUACCCGAGUAGUC
rnacentral:rRNA from 1 species